rnacentral:rRNA from 1 species
AUGGGCAACGCCUGCUUGUCCUGCUGCGCCGCCUCGUCUCAGCCAGAGCUCGACGCGGCGGGAGCACGGCCGCAGCACCGGAAGAGGCCGGCGACGCCCCCGAGACCGAGCGGCAGCAGCGAGCCGAACCCCGCCGCCGCCAGGGCGAGCCCCAAACCCCGGCCCCGGCCCCGGGCCAAGGCCAAGCCCAACCCGUACGCCCACCGCGGCGGCGGCUCGGCGGCGCUGGCGCGCGUGCUGGACGGCGUGGUGCCGCACCACCCGCGGCUGCGCGUGACGGACAAGUACCACCUGGGGCGCGAGCUGGGCCGCGGCGAGUUCGGCGUCACGCGGCUGGCCACGGACCGCGGCGCGGCGCGGGAGCGGCUGGCGUGCAAGUCCAUCCCCAAGGCGCGGCUGCGGACGGCGGUGGACGUGGCCGACGUGCGCCGCGAGGUGGCCAUCAUGGCGUCGCUGCCGGACCACCCGGCGCUGGUGCGGCUGCGCGCCGCCUACGAGGACGACGAGGCCGUGCACCUGGUCAUGGAGCUCUGCGACGGCGGCGAGCUGUUCGACCGGAUCGUGGCGCGCGGGCGGUACACGGAGCGCGCCGCGGCGGCGGCGGCCAGGACGGUGGCGGAGGUGGUGCGGGCGUGCCACGCGCACGGGGUGAUGCACCGGGACCUCAAGCCCGAGAACUUCCUCUACGCCGGCAAGGAAGAGGACGCGCAGCUCAAGGCCAUCGACUUCGGCCUCUCCGUCUUCUUCCGGCCAGGCGAGCGGUUCUCGGAGAUCGUGGGCAGCCCGUACUACAUGGCGCCGGAGGUGCUCCGCCGCAGCUACGGCCCGGAGGUGGACGUCUGGAGCGCCGGCGUCAUCCUCUACAUCCUCCUCUGCGGCGUCCCUCCCUUCUGGGCCGAGACGGAGCAGGGCGUGGCGCGCUCCAUCCUCCGCGGCGUGCUUGACUUCGACCGGGAGCCUUGGCCGCGGAUCUCCGACAGCGCCAAGAGCCUCGUGCGCCAGAUGCUCGAGAUGGACCCCCGCAAGCGCCUCACCGCCCGCCAAGUCCUCGCGCACCCGUGGCUGCAGGAUGCGAAGAAGGCGCCGAACGUGCCGCUGGGGGACGUGGUGCGGGCGCGGCUGAAGCAGUUCUCUGUCAUGAACCGCUUCAAGAAGAAGGCGAUGCGGGUCAUCGCGGAGCACCUGUCCGCGGAGGAGGUGGAGGUGAUCAAGGAGAUGUUCGCUCUCAUGGACACAGACAACAACGGCCGGGUCACGCUGGAGGAGCUCAAGGCUGGCCUUGCCCGGGUGGGCUCCAAGCUCGCCGAGCCUGAGAUGGAGCUGCUCAUGGAGGCCGCCGACGUGGACGGCGACGGCUACCUCGACUACGCCGAGUUCGUCGCCAUCACCAUCCACCUCCAGCGCCUCUCCAAUGACCAGCACCUCCGCAAGGCCUUCCUCUUCUUCGACCGUGACAGCAGCGGCUACAUCGAGCGCGCCGAGCUCGCCGACGCGCUCGCCGACGACUCCGGUAGAGCCGACGACGCCGUCGUCGACCACGUCCUGCAGGAGGUCGACACCGACAAGGAUGGCCGGGUCAGCUUCGUGGAGUUCGUGGCGAUGAUGAAAGCCGGGACGGACUGGCGGAAAGCAUCGCGCCAGUACUCCAAGCAGCGCUUCAAGUCCCUCAGCAACAGCCUCAUCAAGGACGGCUCCAUCUCCAUGGCGCGCUGA